UGGGGAAUAUUGGACAAUGGGCGAAAGCCUGAUCCAGCCAUGCCGCGUGUGUGAAGAAGGCCUUUUGGUUGUAAAGCACUUUAAGUGGGGAGGGAAAGCUUAUGGUUAAUACCCAUAAGCCCUGACGUUACCCACAGAAUAAGCACCGGCUAACUCUGUGCCAGCAGCCGCGGUAAUACAGAGGGUGCAAGCGUUAAUCGGAAUUACUGGGCGUAAAGCGCGCGUAGGUGGUUAUUUAAGUCAGAUGUGAAAGCCCCGGGCUUAACCUGGGAACUGCAUCUGAUACUGGAUAACUAGAGUAGGUGAGAGGGGAGUAGAAUUCCAGGUGUAGCGGUGAAAUGCGUAGAGAUCUGGAGGAAUACCGAUGGCGAAGGCAGCUCCCUGGCAUCAUACUGACACUGAGGUGCGAAAGCGUGGGUAGCAAACAGGAUUAGAUACCCUGGUAGUCCACGCCGUAAACGAUGUCUACCAGUCGUUGGGUCUUUUAAAGACUUAGUGACGCAGUUAACGCAAUAAGUAGACCGCCUGGGGAGUACGGCCGCAAGGUUA
rnacentral:rRNA from 1 species